UACGAAGGUGGCAAGCGUUGUUCGGAAUUACUGGGCGUAAAGCGCGUGUAGGCGGCUUUUCGAGUCAGACGUGAAAGCCCCGGGCUCAACCCGGGAACUGCGUUUGAUACUGUGAAGCUAGAGUGUGGAAGAGGCGAUUGGAAUUCCGUGUGUAGCGGUGAAAUGCGUAGAUAUACGGAGGAACACCAGAGGCGAAGGCGGAUCGCUGGGCCAACACUGACGCUGAGACGCGAAAGCUAGGGUAGCAAACGGG
rnacentral:rRNA from 1 species